GAUGAAGAACGUAGUGAAAUGCGAUAAGUAAUGUGAAUUGCAGAAUUCAGUGAAUCAUCGAAUUUUUGAACGCACCUUGCGCCCCUUGGUAUUCCGGGGGGCAUGCCUGUCCGAGCGUCAUUACAACCCUCAAGCUCAGCUUGGUGUUGGGCCCCGCCGCCCCGGCGGGCCCUAAAGUCAGUGGCGGUGCCGUCCGGCUCCGAGCGUAGUAAUUCUUCUCGCUCUGGAGGUCCGGUCGUGUGCUCGCCAGCAACCCCCAAUUUUUUUCAGGUUGACCUCGGAUCAGGUAGGGAUACCCGCUGAACUUAAGCAUAUCAAUAAGCGGAGGA
rnacentral:misc_RNA from 1 species